rnacentral:tRNA from 1 species
CGGGGUGUGGCUCAGUCAGGUAGAGCACUGCCUUCGGGAGGCAGGGGUCGGAGGUUCGAAUCCUCUCACCCCGACCA